rfam:Erinaceus europaeus unplaced genomic scaffold scaffold00166, whole genome shotgun sequence
AGUUGACUGAUUGUCCCUGCAAGCCAGCUAAUAUCAUAAUUAACUAAGUUGCUACUCCGUCUGCAAAGUUGAAUCGAAAGAUCGGCCAGUGAUAGGAGGCAUUGUCAUAAAGCUCACAAGGGAUAUAAGAGUCGACUGGACUCACAGGAGAACAGCAGAGCUGUGUAAGGCAAGAUGAGAGACAGUCAACUUGUUCAGCCAAA